rnacentral:lncRNA from 1 species
GGUUGGUACUCCAUCAAAUCUGGCAACACUGCUAGUAGUAGCAUAGCAAAGAUGGCGUAGGACGGAGGCUUUGCAGAAGACGAAGAAGGACCGCAGAUGUCUACAACCAGUUUCUUCACCGAAUUAGAGGCGGAACCUUGGCUGGUAUUAGUCCGUGUGUGAGGAGACUCCUUCGGCCUGUGUUUACCAUUGUGUGCCGCUGCGGCUCGACCCUCCAGUGGGAACAUCAUCACAUCAUCUCCGACCUGCUCACACCAAGAUGCUGGGGCAUCCUGUUAAACCAGUGCUAAUUCCAGCUGCACAAACUGUGAAACAUCUCCUUUUAAUCCACCAUCAACUUCUCAUCUUUACUGUCCAUCCAUCAUGAUGCAGUAAAAGGUGAAGAGGACCCGCUCAGGGACGCUUGUGCUGGAUCAGCGGCCAUCUGUCCUCCACGUGGUUCCCUCUCUGCUGUGACCUCUGACCUCCUGCUUCGUCAUUGUUGUGAGGAUGUUUGCCAACAUCUGGGUCUAAUUAUGUCUCCACGGAGCCUCAUAAUGUAUACAUACUUGCUGUGAAGUUUUCUAUUUCCCAAGUAUUCCCUAAUGAGCUUAAAGGGAGAUUCCCAUCAGGUAGCACGUAGACAAAGUCUUCUCUCUCUCAAAAAAACAAAAAC